rnacentral:rRNA from 1 species
GACGAACGCUGGCGGCGUGCCUAACACAUGCAAGUCGAACGGGGUAAUUCCUUCGGGGAUUACUUAGUGGCGAACGGGUGAGUAACGCGUGAGAAACCUGCCUUUCAGUGGGGGACAACAGUUGGAAACGACUGCUAAUACCGCAUAAUGUAUCGAUGGGGCAUCCUGUUGAUACCAAAGAUUUAUUGCUGAAAGAUGGUCUCGCGUCUGAUUAGCUAGUUGGUGAGGUAACGGCUCACCAAGGCGACGAUCAGUAGCCGGUCUGAGAGGAUGAACGGCCACAUUGGGACUGAGAUACGGCCCAGACUCCUACGGGGGGGCAGCAGUGGGGAAUAUUGGGCAAUGGGGGAAACCCUGACCCAGCAACGCCGCGUGAAGGAAGACGGUUUUCGGAUUGUAAACCUCUGUCUUUAGGGACGAAUAGAUGACGGUACCUAAGGAGGAAAGCCACGGCUAACUACGUG